AGUUAAAUUGACCAAGGGAAUCAAAGUGUUAGAAAUUUUGACGUGACCCUACGAAUCUGGGGGUCAGGAGUUCGAAUCUCUUCGGGUGCGCCA
rnacentral:tRNA from 1 species